CGGGGUGCACCAGGCGCGAAAACUUUACAAUGCUGGCAACAGCGAUAAGGGGACCUCGAGUGCCAGGAUACAAUCUUGGCUGUCGCGAUGCCUAAAAAGCAUUGCAUAGCAAGGGCCGGGCAAGACCGGUGCCAGCCGCCGCGGUAACACCGGCGGCUCGAGUGGUAACCGCUAUUAUUGGGUCUAAAGGGUCUGUAGCCGGCCGGAUAAGUCUUUUGGGAAAUCCAGCUGCUCAACAGUUGGGCUUUCAGAAGAUACUGUUCGGCUCGAGACCGGGAGAGGUGAGAGGUACUUCAGGGGUAGGGGUGAAAUCUUGUAAUCCUUGAAGGACCACCAGUGGCGAAGGCGUCUCACCAGAACGGAUCUGACGGCAAGGGACGAAAGUUAGGGGCACGAACCGGAUUAGAUACCCGGGUAGUCCUAGCCGUAAACGAUACUCGCUAGGUGUCAGCCACGGUGCGACCGUGGUUGGUGCCGUAGGGAAGCCGUGAAGCGAGCCACCUGGGAAGUACGGCCGCAAGGCUGAAACUUAAAGGAAUCGGCGG
rnacentral:rRNA from 1 species